GUAGUUGGUUUCAAUUGGGACAACUUUUUUUUUUUUUAUCUUUGGUGCUAUUGUUUUGAUCUCUGGAAAUUGAUGCCAUAAGUUCUUACUUUGAGCUUUUCAAAGUAUGUUGAUGUUUCUUCUCUGUUUUAUUGUAAAUCUUGCUGGAGGCUGUUCUGAGACAAUUUGGUGGAGGUGGUGGUGGUUAUGGAGGUUCAGACACUCUAAUAACCGAUGAGGAAGUGUUACAUCGGCAUCAGAAUCUGGAGAAGCUUUACAUCUCAACACGCUCUGCUAAGCAUUUUCAACGAGAUAUUGUCCGUGGUGUACAAGGAUAUAUCGUUACAGGAUCCAAACAAGUCGAAAUAGGUACUAAGUUGUGUGAGGAUAGUAGGAAAUAUGGUUCGGAUAAUACAUGUACUAGUGGUAAUACACUAACAAGAGCUUCACUCAGCUUCGCAAAUGCUCGAGCCUUAAUGGAGAAAGAGCGCGCAAAUCUCUUGAAGACUCUUGGCACACAGUUAUUAGGUCGCUGAGCCACUAAGGGCAAUGGUAA